rnacentral:rRNA from 1 species
UACAUGGGGUGCAAACGUUGCUCGGAAUUAUUGGGCGUAAAGCGCGUGUAGGCGGCUUUGCAAGUCGGAUGUGAAAGCCCUCGGCUCAACCGAGGAAGUGCAUUCGAAACUGCUGGGCUUGAGUUCUGGAGAGGAAGGCGGAAUUCUCGGUGUAGAGGUGAAAUUCGUAGAUAUCGAGAGGAACACCGGUGGCGAAGGCGGCCUUCUGGACAGUGACGUGACGCUGAGACGCGAAAGCGUGGGAGGCA